rnacentral:rRNA from 1 species
GACAGAGGAUGCAAGCGUUGUUCGGAAUUACUGGGCGUAAAGGGCCAGUAGGCGGCCAACUAAGUCACACGUGAAAUCCCCGGGCUUAACCCGGGAACUGCGUGUGAUACUGGAUGGCUUGAAUUCGGGAGAGGGAUGCAGAAUUCCAGGUGUAGCGGUGAAAUGCGUAGAUAUCUGGAGGAAUACCGGUGGCGAAGGCGGCAUCCUGGACCGACAUUGACGCUGAACGGCGAAAGCUAGGGGAGCAAACGGG